GAAUGGCCGAGUUUCUAGCGCUGUGGCCCUCUGUGCCAUAGGUUUCGGGUUCAAGUCCCGGCAGCAUCA